rnacentral:tRNA from 1 species
GCCCCGGUAGCUCAGCCUGGUAGAGCGCCGGCCUUGUAAGCCGGAGAGGGGACUCCCACGGAGGA